UUUUUUUUUUUUUUUUUUUUGGGUGGGUGCAUCAAUACAGAAAUAAGUGGGUUUUGACCGAACCUUUCACAUCUUUUUGGUAGUCAUGGCAUUGGAAUCUCAAGCAGAAGCACUCAAUCAGCUAACAAGUGACGAGCUUGAAGGGAAGGUAGUACCUCUUUGAUGUGAUUCUAUGUUUUUUUGUUCUCCUUAAGUUCUUCUACAGUUCUCUGCGCCUACUGUAAUAACCCCCUCCUAUAAGUGACUACCAGUUUGUGUUAGACAUUAAUGAGAGAAUUUGUGGCCUUUCUAAGCUUCUUGUUUGGAUGGUGGAAAUGGGAAGGAAUUCAGAUAUAUCUGGGGCGUAUUUAAUUGUAGAUAGUAUGUUUUGUUCCAUCUAGAUAAUCUUCAGACUUUCUUUUACAUCUAAUUACAUGUGUCAGUGUAGAUGGUUUCUCUGAUUCUUUUACCUAAAUGCUUUCUAUAAGGUGGUUUUUAACUCCAGAAACUUUUCUUAACCAGUUUGCAUUGCUGGAGAGUUCUUCGGUUGAUGAUGAUCUCACCACAUUGAAGAAAGAGCUAUCUGGAAGCACAAAGGUAAGCUUUUCUGCAUCUUUUAUUUGUUGUAAAGCCUUAUAAAUCUUGGACCAUAAACUUUCGUUCAAUGAUGUAUUGCACUUCUAAGGUAGGUUUUGCCCUUUCUGGAAAUGUGAUUUUCAUCAGACGGCUACUUUCUUUUAACUUCUCGAAGUUUGUUUUUUUUACCAUUUAACUGUUGACAUGCUCACUCGGACACAGAGUAAUACGACAAUUUUUCACACGACUUUUUGAUGUCAUCAUAGCUAAGGUUUGUUGUUAUCUACAAAUUUCAUGUGCUUAAGUUACAAAAUUUAGCUACUGUUGCUUGAUCCAUGGUAACUCACUAAAAAAUGUGAGUUUUCCAAAAUGGAAUCGAGAGCUUUUAAGCUGGCAAGUGUGCAGAUUUUUAUACUGUUGAUGAUUUAUGUUCCCAGUUGUUAAUGGUGAAGUAUGACUAUGGCAAGAUUACUUGCUGUAUAGGGUUUUGGCAGUCCAUUAUGGAACUCCAGCAUGGUUUAAUCUGUGAUGUACCGAGUUUCUCAUAGGAUAUUAUGCUGCAAUAUGGGGGAGAAAGAACUGAAAAUAAUGAAAAAAUGGAAAAGAAAUGUUGACAUGUGAAUCAAAUAACUUUGCGCAGCUUUGCCGUAGGACUGUAAACUUAAUGACAUAAUUACAGAGAAGUUGAAAAGGGGACUUGUGGCCCUUAUAUUUUGCUUUCCAUGUGGUGGUGGAAAGGCUGCCCUCUGCAACCGUGGCAACUUUUUCGCCUUCAGGAAUAUGCCCUUGAAGGUGUUUGUUAUGUGUUUCGUUGAGCAGGGGUGCAACUAUUUUCUUCUGAUCCCUGUUUGAUUGGGAUGAUUAAUAUUCAUUAUAAAUUUUCAAGUAUCAAACUCACAAAAUUUUUUGUUGAUCGAAGCAGAAAGGAGAUCUACCACCUGGAAGAACGCCUGUUACUACGGGUUCAAGUUCUUCAUUUCCGUUUCAAGAUUCUGAGAUUGAGAAAGAGCUGAAUGAACUGAGGAGAAAAGCCAAAGACUUCUAGUAAUACUUGGGUCUUUCAAAACGUUCUUCUGCAAUCAUCAUUUUAACCGUUUGAAUUCCAAGAUCUGGUUUUGGAAUAGGAAUCCUAUUCUGUGAAGUGAGCUCGAAUUUGGGGAGUGCAAAUGCAAAGGCAGGACCUCCAUCUGUUAAUUUAUGCCUGUUGUUCAUAUACAAGAAUUGACUGAUAUCUACAUGUAUAUUGACAUACAAGUACCCUCCAGUGCAAUAGCCAUCUACCAUAAUUUUUGCAGAUGAUAUAGUUAAAAUGCUCCUCUUAUGUUGCUGAUUAUUGAUCAAUAGCCUAGAUUUGCUCUACAACAUGCCCAUAUUCAUCCUUUUUGCUCCAAGGUGCAUACGGCUGAAGUGCUAGACCCUCUCUUCUGCUCAUUAUCUGCAGUAAAUUCAAGACAAGAAUCCUAUUGGCCGCACAAAUUUAUGCAGAAGUUAGCAGCUAACGUGAUUCUGGAAUCACCUAUUGCAUCAUUUUCCCUGUUUGCGCAUAAGGAUGAGUUUACGAUAAGGAUUUUAAAGUGUAUGCAUAUGAAGUGUUGUUCUGCGUCAUUCAUUUUUUCAAUGACUUGAAAACAUGUCCCCUUGAAAAGGUCUAAGCAUAUUUAGUAUUCUUUCCCACUUUUACUUUUUGGGUUAAAGCUGAAAGCAUUGAGCCCUCUAAUGUUUGAUUGCCAUUUGUGCUUUUCCCACUUUGACAAAUGAUCAACACUAAGGGUUUAGCUAAAAGAUAGUAUUAAAAAGAAGAUCUUUUAUUUUUUUUUCUCUUUUAGAAGAAUGCCCUUAAAAAAGAAUUAUUGGAACCACUUUAAAAAAUUACACGCCCAUUGAAGUCUAUUGUAGAAUUUAAAAUAAAAUCAUUUCAUGUACCAAAAAAAGAAAAACAUAAAAUAAUUAUCAAAAGGAAUAUAUACUGUGUAGUUUUCACAACACAAAAUUUUGGAAGCAAGUUUUGCUUACGAAAUUCAGUGCUACUAAUUAAUUCAGAUAUUCAAUUUUUCAUUAUCAAAAGCGUUUCAACAUAUUUAGAUUUGAAUACACUCAAACAAAGGUGAAGUGUUAAAUUGGUCAAAUUUGUCAAUUGCAGAAAACCAAUAAAAAUUCAUGAAGAAUUAUUAUUAUUAAUUAAGCACCAAGUUAGACAAAUUCAGCAUUUUUUUCUUUAAAUUUGUGCUGCUUAAUUACGUAAUAUUAAAAAUUGAAUUUUAGCAAAUGCUGAAUAUAACUAUUUGGCCACCCAACGAGGACUCACAUUUUAAAUUUACAAGACUGACCACGAAGUCAACUUAAUUAGGAUUUCUUACUUGGGUUCACUUAGCAAAGCAUAAAGCUAAGUCCAACUUGUAAUACCUUCACUAGUUGGAUUUAACUAUUAACAAUUUAACAUCCUAUUGUUUUCUGUUUCAAGUCAGACAAUAACUUCAAUCUAUAAAUACCGUCUCUCAUUACAUUACUUUGCACCACAAGAACUAGCUCAAGUCUAAACCCUUCUUGAAACAUCCCAAACGCCAAAUUAAGGCCUCAUGGCACCUAUCACUUGUGAUUAUGAGGUCACCUCCUCUGUCCCUGCUGCAAGGUUGUUCAAGGCCUUCAUCCUUGAUGACAACCUCAUUCCCAAGGUCUUUCCACAGGCCAUCAAGAGUGUCGAGAUCAUUGAAGGAGAUGGAGGUGUUGGAACCAUUAAAUUGAUUACUUUUGGUGAAGGUUAGUUAGUUCUACACAUGCACUUAAUCAUUUUCAGGUCAUUGAAUAUUUAUCAUUCUACGUAAUAGUAAAUCAUUUAUGCACAUCGAUUUUGUAGUGCAUGCAUCAAAACUAAUGAUAAACUUUAAAUCUUAUCUUUAGGUUGCCAUAUUAAGAGUGCUAAGCACAGAGUCGAUGGACUUGAUAAGAACAAAUUCACCUACACCUAUACUGUAACUGAAAGCGAUGCCUUCAGUGCUGAGCUUGAGAAGAUCACCUGUGUUAUCAAAAUCGAAGCCUCCGCUGAUGGAGGGUCUAUCUGCAAAACCAGCAGCACAUACCACAUCAAGGAUAGCGUCCAGGUUACAGAAGAACAAGCUGAGGCAGGAAAAGAGAAAAUUAAGUCAGCAAAAGAGAGGGCCUUGGCCAUGUUCAAGGCUGUCGAGACCUACCUCCAGGCAAAUCCUGAUGCCUACAACUGAUUAAUGUGCUGCCAACUCCUCCAGAGUCAAUCUGAUACUUGUAUGUUAUGGUUUGAUGGUGCUGUUUUGUCUGAAUGCUUUUUGGAGUCUUGUAUGUUUGGUUCAACUAUAUAUUCGCAGUUAAGGCUCAGAAUAAAAUGCUGCUUGUAUUUUCUUGUGAGACUAAAUGAAUCUUGUUUGAAACUGUGGUUCCAUUGUUGUCCCGAAAAGCAAUUUUGGUCUCAUUUCAUCAUCCGAUCUUGUAAUGAAAAGAUCUAAAUGAAUACUAAAAAAAUUAUUUACUAAAAACCAGCACCGUCGAUUGGGAGAAUCCAUAAAACAUCAACGGUGAUACAAUUAAUAUAAAAAAAAAUGUCCUUAUAAAACGAAAUUUGAAUGACUUGUUUACCAUCUUUCCAUGUCUUGUAAAAUUGGUCAUCUUGAAAAGCUCGAAGCAUAUUUACUACUCUGUUUUUACUUUAUUCCUUAUCUUUUAGUAAAUUACAAAGGACAUAUUAAUCGAAGUUGUAUUUUGAAGGGUAAAGUGAAAAGAUUAAUUAAACAACUAUUACUAUCAGCAUACGAUUCGUAGAAAUAUAGAUAUACAAAAAUAAAAGAAGAGCGACAACUAAGAGAAAUUAGUAAAAAGAGCACAUUCGAAGCCUAAAUUAAUGAAUAAGAGAAAGGCUCAAUCUCAAAAGAAUCUAAUAACCAUUUGAGAACAGGUACUUUAUAAUCUCGAAAGAUGCCGGAUGCAUAGGUCAGCGUUCUCAAAACAAACUUUAGGGCACAUUGGUUUAGUUUUUGUAAAAAUUUCAUUGAGAUUCCAAUUACUAGACUGACUAGAAAUCAAAAUGAUUCCCCAAGCCAUCCAUGCAUAUAGCAAGAAAUUCAAUUACAUGAGAACUAGCAAUUUAGCACUAUAUAAUUAAAACUCAUCCCCUUCAUUAGUGCAAAAUACUAGAAAGGUAGCUUAAUUAUUGGGUACUAGGCUAUGUUUCUAAACUCAGACCGGGCCGACAGGUUCGACCGGUCGAACCAAGAAUCGGUCAAGUGUCUGGUCCGAGUUGUACUAAAAAAUCAGAGGGAUAAAGACUCUAUCAUACCCGGUCAAAAAUCGGGUUUGACCGAAACCGAUCGAUUUGUGUCAUAGUUUUUUUUUUAAAAGGUCAAAGCAUUUUCAAUAUUAUGUUUUGACCCCUGGGUUGUUAAAAAUUAUUAAUAUAUCUCAAAUAUUUCAUACUUUAAAAUUGUUGUCCUAAAGUUUGGUGUUAAUUUUCAAUCAAGUUCAUAAUUUUAAUUCUAAACUUGUUAAUGUUCAUUGAAUAAUAUAAAUUGCUAUUUAAUUGUUCUAAUUUCUUUGUAUUUUCUUGUUAAAUAUAUUUGAAACAUCAAAUAUAUAUAUAUAUAUAUAUAUACCUUUAUUAAUCUGAACAUGCUCUUAGGUAUUUUACAUACAAUAGUUUAAUUUUUAAAUAAUUUUUAUUUAUGACAUCAUUCGAUUCAAUUCCGAUCGAAGCUAAUGACCCCUAACCCCUGUGUUCGACCGAGUCGAUACUCGGUCCGAGUCUGAAAACAUAGGUACUAGGAGCAAGUUCUCGUAAUCUCAAAAUUUAAACUCCAGAAUAGGUCUACCUUAGGGAAUGUGUUUAUUUAUGAAGAAAACUAUACUACUAGACUGUGACUGAAAACCAAAAUAAUUCACCCAUGGCUGCUGGCCAUAUUAAGUAGCAAGGAAUAUUUGAGUAUAUAAGAUAUGGCACCAUCAAGUCUAAGCUCAUCCUCUUCAACAAGGUAGAGACCAGACCAGUACUUCUCAGGCUACUAUCAGAGCCACUAUUGUCAUAGCUUGAAAAGAUCAUUACUACAAAGAUUUCCAGGAAAAACCAACAAGAAAUUUGCUGAAAUCAUAUCAACUCUUCGCAGAAGAGGAGACGUAGAUCCCUCCUAUGACUUUUACCAAUACCAAGGGUUUUGGAUGCCUUUAAUCUUCCUAAAACCAACCAUUACCCUCCAAGAACAUUGCAAGGUCAAACCCGAGGAAAAUUUUUUUUUUCAGUUCUCCUAAAACAGGUACCACGUGGCUCAAAGCCUUGGCUUUCCUGUCAUAACAAGAGAUCGUUUCAACGAAUUUACAAAACCUUUUCUUAAAACUAUAACACAUGAAUGUCUUCCACUUAUGGAAAUUGAUCUUGCCAGAGAUCCUUCGUACAGAACAUCCCAGCUGCCACUUUUGGCCACCCGUAUGCCUUAUACAUCCUUGCCGAAGUCUAUUCUUAAAUCAGGAGGUAAGAUUAUUUACACAUGCAAGGAGCAAAAGGAUACAUUCGCUUCAUAUUGGCAUUUUUUAAACAGACUGAAUCAUCUCCACAGGGGGCCAUAUUCAAGUGAACCGGCCCUCUCCCUGGAGAAGGAAGUGGGCUGUUCUGUGAAGGCAAGUCAAUAUAUGGACCUUACUGGGACGAUGUCCUGGGAUUUUGAAGAGCCAGCAUCAAAGCUGGGUUGUUCUUGAAGCAUGAAGUGUUGAAGAAAGAUGAACUGUUUUACGUGAAGAAAAUGGCGGAGUUCAUGGGGAAACCAUUUUCGAAGGAGGAAGAAAUUGAAGGUGUCCCUGAGAAAUUUAUAGGGAUGUGCUUUAAAAACUUGAGCAAUUUGGAGGUGAAUAAGAGCAGUAUUUAUAAUUAGGGUCGGGUGAAUAACAGUUCAUUUUUCAGGAAAGGAGUUAUUGGGGAUUGGAAGAAUUUUUUGAGCGAGGAUAUGAGAAUGAUGAUAGAUCAAACUACAGAACAAAAGCUGCAGUUUACAGUUUACAGGCUUCACAUUUUGAUUCGUGUUCAGAAUAAGUAACCUAAGGCAAAAGUGAUGGAAUGAGACAAAUUCAAAACCAGCACUGCUGUAUUGUUUGGUAUCCUGUGGAGUCUCGUAUUUAUCUUUUGUUGUUGCUUUUCUAUGUGCGCGACUCAUAAUGUUUUCACGUUUGAGUCCAUUGAAAGUGAUAUGUUUUUCAUUUAUGCUAAAAUGUUUUUCAUCCUUAAAAUAUUCAAAACAAAAUAAUUUAUGUUUCUUUACUUUGUCCCCUUUUUUUUUGUGAAUGACAAUGGGUCAUACCAUUCAGAUUUUAAAUUUUAGAUGGUCUAAUUUGAAGAAUCUGAACACAUACAUACAACCAUAAACAUACUUAUUAUAAGGUUGAAUUUCCCCAAAAAAAAAAAAGACAAACAAUAUGAGACUAAGGGAGUAAGAAUUGGAGAAAUCAGUGAAAAGGGCACGUUUGUAGCCUAAAUCAAAAAAGAAAAAAGAAAAAGAAGAGGCUUCACAAUCUGAUUCCAUGCUCAAAAUAAUAAACCUAAGGCAGAACUGAUGGAAUGGAACAUCGUCCUUGAUUUUUGUUUACCAAAUGCUCCUACUAUCUAAAGAGCAAAAGCAAACAAUAAUCUGAAGAAUUUCAGAAUCCUUCCCACUGCUAAGCUGUUUAGUGAUUCUUGCGGAAGUUAGUAGACUUAUUUCUAAACCGUUCUACUGCUUGAUCUUUAGUUGUAGCUUUUCUAUAUGUGAGAACCAUUUAUUAGGCAUUUCCCGGCAGCAAGCCUGUUACUGUACAAGUAUUUUUAUGGAUCUCUAACACAUUCAUAAGGUAACAAUUUAAUCCCAAAUUUCACGGGAAAAUUGCGCAAAAAAAAAAAAAAAGUUGCUUACACUUUUAUCUUUUCCAAAACUGUCCAGGAUAGUUGGAAGGAGGUGAUUCGUAAACAAGCCUUUCUGUUUGAAGUGAUAGCUUGUUUUACUUUGAGUUUUGUGCCCUCUCAAUCUAUUCAUACUAAUGGUGCAUUUGACAAAAAUAGCUCAAAACGGCACUUAGAAGUUAGAACCAAACUAUCAUCAUUGAUUUUGGUAUUUUCUGCACCAAAGUACAUUAUUUGAACAUGUGAAAGACAAGAUAGCUAAUAACGUUUAGGAUCAUUAAUGAAACUCCCGAUUCCUAAAUACCUUGUGCGAGUUGGAUGCCAAUCUAAAAUUGUAUUUCAAAUAUAUCACGAGUACAUGUAUUUUAACAAUGCAUCAAGGGUUAAUCACAAAAAAUUCCCACUAAGGUAUAGUUAUAUUUGUAAUUUACCUUCUGAACAUUAUUUUUGCUCACUUAAUUCCCUAAUAGGCCAAACUACCCUUUUAUUAUACUAAUAUUUUUUCUUCUUUCUUUUCUCAAUUAAUCUUAAAUCGUAUUUAAUUUUGAUCAUGUAUUAGUGGUAAAGCACCAAAGGAAGGAAAUAGAUUUAUUGGAAAAUAUAUUUAUAUAUGAUUACUUUUAAAAAAUAGUAAAGCAAAUACCCUAAUAAGCAAAAGUCUAUUAGAGAAAAAUGAACAUAAAGGUGUCGAAAUAGUUUGAAUGUAAAUGUUAUUGUAAAAAAAAAGAGUAACUUAUUUUGAAUUGUUUAUUUAUGAGGAUAUGAAAUGAAAAUUUUCUUUUAAUUUCUUGGUAUGAAAAAUUGAUGAAAGUAAUCAGAAUAUAAUUGAUAUGUAAGACUAUAUAUAGUUUCUUAAUGUUUGUAAGUUAGAGGAUAGACAUCUUAAAUUUUUGGUAGGAUGGAUUAUGACAAAUAAAAGGGAUAAAAAUUGAUGUAGAAUUGCUAUAUGUAAAAAAAAAAAAAAUAUAGCAUAAUUUUAAUUAAAAUUUGAUUCUUUGACAAAUACAAAUUUUUAGAAAGGAAAUUAAUAGAUAGAGUAAUCCUUUAUUUGCUCAAAAUAUAUUUUUUUAAAAAAGAAUAAUCUAAGAAAAAAAAAGCCGAGAAAAAAGAAAAAAAAUUAAUAUAAUAGAGUAUAGUUUUGUCUCUUAGGAAGUUAAGUAAAAAAUAAUAAUAAUAAGGGUUACUUGCACUUUAUCCCCUUUACGUAUGAGCCAUUUCUCAAUUUAAUGCCCAACAUUUGUUUUUCCACAGUUUAUGCCAAAGACUAACGGUCAACCCUAACGGAGAUAAACAGAAUAAUGAAAAUAUAGUAAUACCCUUAAGAAAAUAAUGAACAACCCAAAAUAUCCAUAUCUCUAGGUUUAUGAAAGGGAUAAAGAAAAGUUUCCAAAAUUUCCCUAGAAUAAUGGAGGAGGGAAAUUUCCCUCCAUUUGGCACAUGGGACAAAAAAAAAAAAAAGAAAUUCGGAAGAUAAAAGGUACAAAACCUUUUCUAAUUGUAGGUCAUCUUUUCUCUCUCCUCUAUCAGCUACUUUUCCUUCCAUCUUUUCUCUCUCCUCUAUCUAUCCAUGAAAAGUACCCACAUACAUGCUGGUUCUGAAUAAAAAUAUAACUGUCUAAAACUCUUUUUGACUUAUUCAUGUAUAGAGCAAAAUUAAAGACAAUAAUAACAGAUUAUUAAUGAAAAAUUCUUACAUUGUAAUUUGAGCUGCAGUAAAAUCUUUUUCCCGGAUUUUCAAAUGUCCAAGAGGUGCACAAUGGUGCCUCUUUACCAUAUCCACACAUUUUUUGGGGCGAUCUUUCAAUGUUAUUUGAAGCACUUUGUGACAUUUUUAUGAUACUUAUAGUUGACAAAGAAAAAUUUUAGGAGUUGUUGGAUCUAUUGAAAUGAAAGAGAAAAACUAGGCUGCAACUAGAUGGAAGCAUGAAAGAUAAAAAAAUAAGCUAAAAAGCAUCAGACAUCCCUUUUUUUAACUCAUUGAGGGAUAUUUUAGUCAGCCUAAACAAACGGCUCUCUUCCAAUGGCAAUUUCGGCAUCUUGAAGUUUUUAACGGUGCAAUUGCUUAGUUGGACUGACGGAGGGGGUAAACUAUGAAAAAACAAAUGUGGGAAGGGGGUAAAUUAAGAAAUGGCCCAUACUUAAAGGGGAUAAAGUGCAAUUAACCCUAAUAAUAAUUAGGGGACGAACUGCAGAUCUACUUAUAUCUUAGGGGAGUUUUUGUUAUGGGUAUCACCAUGUGUCCUAACUCCAAACUCAAGUCUUGGGAAAAAAUAAUAAAACAUUAGCUUAAUUUAAGAGAAAUACUAAUAAGUACCACAAGAAGUAAUGUCAUCAAUGCACUGCUUAGUUGUGGUACUUAUUAGUGUGGAAAACUGAUUCAGAAAUUUCUCAAUCUAAGUUAUCAACAUGGCUUUGUUGAUCAACAUUCACCUUCUUUCCCCAACCAUUGCUAUUGCAACCUUUCCCCUUCCCACCUCCAACAUUUUUUUCCCAGCAACUCAUCUCCUUUUGCUCUCCGUCUUCCUUUUCAACUUUUUCAGUGGUCUUAUCUAUAGAUACAUGUACAACAUAAUAGUUCAUACUAGGAAAGAGAUAUACGUUCGAGUGGUUUAUUAUUUAGUUUCAUAAAUCAAUUUGGAGCUUUUAAUUGGGAUUUGAUUGCCUUUUACUUCGAAAUUUUAUUUGUGGCCUUAGGGACAGUCUGGAGAGUUUAAGACUGUUGGCAGACCCUUUCACGUAGCGCAUUGUUGGAAAUGGAGUUAACGCUAGCCUUAGGGCCUUUAUACCAAUGUUCAGUUUUACUGGAAACUUGUUACAUAGUUUUGGUUGCAGAUCCACUGCUCUAGUAUCUGAUAGUAUAUUAAUUAUGGAUGGAGGAUGGAAAUAGCCAAUAGGAAGAAGGGUAACAACUGAGGUCAGGACAAUGAAGAAGAGUUACAACUUACAACUCGUAAUACUCUAAUAAUGACUAUGCCUGAUUUUGAAGACCAACUUAUUAUACGGACAGGUUUCUCGUCUGGAUUGUUUACUACUAAGUCUGCUAUGAAACUUUUUAAGGAGGAGUCAAGGGAUCACUACUAAGGAUUGGACAAAGCUGAAAUAUCUGGGGCAAGGGAUGUGUGCCCAGGUUUGCCUUUAUACUAUGGUUUGCUAUUGCAAACAAAGGGAUGCUACUAGGGAUAGAUUAAAGCAGGGGCGCGGAUCUACGGUGGGGGCACUGGGGUCCUCUUAAAUUUCUAUAGUAUUCAUAGAAUUUUGAUAUAAUUUCAAGUGUGUCCUCUGAAGUUUUGUGUAUCCAUUGGAUUAUAUGCUCCUAAAGUUGGUUUUGAUUUUGUCUGUUACUACAGUUACCAUAGAAAUGGCUUUUUCAGUUAUGAAUAUAGUGAAAAAUCGGUUACGAAAUAGAAUGGGAGACACUUGGAUUAAUGAUUGUUUAGUUGCUUACAUUGAAAAAAAUAUAUUUCGUGAAAUUCAAAAUGAGAAGGUUGUAAAUCGUUAUCAAAAUAUGAAAACUCAUUGUGAGCAAUUGUAAAUAAUUUAGUUUGCUUUUUGAAAUAAAAUUAUUAUUACAUUAAUAAUUUUGAGUUUAUCAUUUUAUAUUUUUUAUGGAAUAUAUGCAUCAUUUAUACUUGUUGAUGAAUUUUUUUUGCUUAAAAAACUAGAAAAAAAUUUAGAAUUACUUUUGCUCUCAAUGAGAAUUUUUUCUGGCUCUGCCACUGUUUCGUAAUAUUGAAGAGAAGAGCAUACAGCAUCUGGUUUUUUGAUUGUGCAUUCACAACACAAGGGCAGCACUUGGGGAUGCUCAAGAACAGAGGCAAAAGAUAAAGUCAACACUUAUAACAUGGGAUUCUACGUACCUGCUUCACAUGGCAUUUUGAAGUAAAAACAAAAAGAACUCAAAAAAAUGGGAUUCUACGUACCUGCUACACAUGGCAUUAUGACAUGCCCACAUGGGAUUCCACGUACCUGCUUCGCAUGGCAUUAUAAGUAAAAAAAGAGAGAGUAAAAAAAAUAACAACAAAGUCAACGCAUUUGACAUGUGCACAACAACGAAUGGUGAGGUUCAAACGCACCCUUAAUUAGUUUAUUUAUAAUGGAAAUUUCGUUGAGGUUCCCAUGAGUAGACAGCUACAGUUUAUUUAUAAUGCCGCUGGCCAUAUAUGGCAAGAAAUUCAAUUAUAUAACCGUUGGCAUUUUCUAGUUUCAGCUCAUCCUCUUCAACAACAGAGUAGAGAGCACAGUCCACCUCUCUUUCAGCUACGUUACCAGCAGCAUAGCCACAUUUAUCGUAGCUUCAAAAGAUUUGAGAAAGUAGUCUAUGGAAACCAACAUGAGAUAUCCCGAGAUCAUAUCAGCUCUUCCCAAAAGAGAAGGCUUAGCUCCCUCCUUGGACUUCUAUGAAUACCAAGGUUUUUGGUUCCCUUUAGUCUACUUAGAAGCAACCAUCACUCUCCAGGAACAUUUCAAGGCUAAUCCCGAGGACAUCUUUUUGUGCAGCUCUGUCAAAACAGGUACCACAUGGCUCAAGGCCUUGGCUUUUUCCAUCUUAACGAGAGAUCGUUUUAUGCAGUCCCCAAACCCUCUGCUUAAUACCGUUCCGCAUGAAUGCUUUCCACUUAUGGAAGUUGAUCUUGGCGACGAUCCUUCGUACAGAACACCCCAGCUCCCCCUUCUAGCCACCCAUAUCCCUUAUACAUCCUUGCCAAAAUCUAUACUAGAAUCAGGAUGUAAGAUUAUUUACAUAUGUAGGGAACCAAAGGACACGUUCACUUCAUAUUGGCAUAUGUUACAAACAUUGAAACAUCUCUCUGCGGGGCCAGAUGCAAGGGAACCGGCCCCUUCCCUGGAGGAGGAAUUAGAGAUGUUCUGCCAGGGCAAGUCUGCAUUUGGACCUUGCUGGGACCAUGUCUUGGGGUUCUGGAGAGCUAGCAUUGAAAGGCCCGAGACUGUGCUGUUCUUGAAGUAUGAAGAGCUGAAGAAAGAUGAACUUUUUUACGUGAAGAAAUUGGCUGAGUUCAUGGGGAAGCCAUUUUCCCAGGAGGAAGAGAUUGAAGGUGUCCCCGAGAAAAUAAUAGGAAUGUGCAGCUUCAGAAAUUUGAGCCAUUUGGAGGUGAAUAAGAGUGGUUUUUAUCAGAAAGGUCGGGUGUAUAACAAUUCAUUUUUCAGGAAAGGAGUUGUUGGAGAUUGGAAGAAUCUUUUAACUGAAGAUAUGAAAGUGAUGAUAGAUUGCACCACAGAACAAAAGCUGCAGUUUUCAGGCUUCACAUUUGGUUCGUCUUCAGAACAGGAAACCGAAGGCAAAAGUGAUGGCAUGGAAUAUUGUUCUUGAUUUUUGUUUCCUGUAAUAAUAGUACUGUGUGUUUGGAUUGAAAAUUAUUUGAGAUAUUUUUACUGUAACACUUUUUGUGAUGUGAUGUAAUAUAUAUGAGAUAAAAGAGUAAUUAAAAAGAUAAAAAAGUGUAUUGAAAAUUGUAAUGAUGGUAUAAACAAAUAUAUUUAUUUGGACAAAUAAUCUCCUAUCCAAACACACUCAAUUACUUCUUUAUAUUUGAAUAUAUAAAUAGCAUCAUCAUCUUUUUCAUUUUGGAACUCACACUCGCUCACUGUCACUAAAUCUAUCAUAGUCACUUGACUCGUUGCCAUCUUCGUCUUGUUCCUCAAUCUCUUGAUUUCUCCAUCCAUUUGACCAGUGACUCUCUGUACCAACAAUUGUUCAGUCAAGAGAUCGAUGACGGAAUUUGAUACCAUUGAAAAGGAUCUUGACUUCUAGUCUUGUCAAUGGAGAAAACAACCUUGAAGAGUUCAAAAGUGCUUGAUUCUGGAUCAAUCAUCAAGACAUUCAAAGGUUUACACCCCAAAAAAAAAUAUAAAAGGGAAAAAAUGAGCAUCAGACCAAACAUGUCGGAACCACGUCAAAGGGACCAAAAGGGAUGCCCAAAAGUUGCAGGAAAGUUUCCUUCGACAAAGAGAGAAUGACGUCCUUUAUAAAUAUUAAAUACUGGCGGGCGCCGUUACCCGUUAACUAUUGCAGUUUUGCCGUCCGUCGCAUGACCAUUUUGUCGUGGCGGCGGCGGUAACGAGCUUCUUUGCUUGCUGAAUUCAGUGUUGCCAAGUUCUUUUUAGCGCUCAAGUCCUUCUAGUUUUUUUUUUGUACGUUUUUCAUUUAGCUACGCUUUUUCAGCUUACAUUCUUCAUUCAAGCCCGUGAGAUCUCCAACCUACCAAAAUUACUAUCUCCUACCGUUUUGUUGAGAUCAUUAAUAGAGCCUUUAAAUUGAAUAGCACCUUCAACACUUGACAACAAGCAAAAACACGAGAAAACAGCACUAUGACAAAACAAGAGCGUCAAACACAAUUCUUUGUAUUAAUCCAAACAACUAAAACCAAAUUUGUAUCAUAUAAUCGCCUCAAUUUGUACAUAUUAAAGGAAUGUUAAAUUUGUUUACACAAGUAGAUUCUAAAAUAUGCAACACAACAAUUUUAAAGUUUUUACUAUCUUUUCCAUACAUAUUGCAUGCAUUUAGACCCCCAAUAUAAUUCGACAUACGACCGUGUAAUUUUCACAACACAAAAUUUUUCUAUCACAAUGUCCAAAUGUCCAUGACUUGCGUAUGAGAGAUGUUUUUGUCACAUUUGAAUCUCACAUCCACUUAUUGAUGUUAAUUUGAGGAAAUACAUUUUUAACAACAACAAAGUUUCGAAUUUAAUCAACAUGGCGAGAUUUUUGUUUUAAUCAACAUGUCCUAAGGGUGCGUUUGAUAAAACUGAAAUUUGAAAUUUGAAUCCAUUAAGUUAUUCAAUCGUUACUGUCGCGCCCCAUUUUUAAAAAUGAAAAAUAACGAGUGUUAUAAAAAUGAAUCUUGAUUGAUUUUUGAAUGAAAAUCAGAGUUUGAUUUAUAGAAAAUAAAUAAAGAAAAUGAGCCUAAAUGGGAUUUGAAAGUGCGACAAUUUUGGCCCAAAUUAUAGUUGAAAAAAGGUUUUUAAUAAAAAAUAGAAGUCGUCACUUGGUAUUGAAUUAAGGUGUACCAAGUCACCUAAAAUGAAUUUUGAAUAAAAAAAAAAGUAGAAAAACCCUUUUUAAACAACUCCAAGUUUUCGAAAAUCAGAGAAAAGUGUUCGGGAGUCACAUUUGAAGAAAGGGAAAGCAAGGAUAAAAUCUAAAACACCCUUUCAAUCUAGCCAAGACUAGUUGCGUGAUUUAGUCAAAAAUUUUCUUAUUUUUAACCUAAAAAAUUAUCACAUUUGGACGUACUAUAUGAAUGCAAACCCUAGACCUAAUGUAUCGGGGUCAACAUGUCUCUUCGAAUUUUAAUUAGUGCAAAUCGCAUUAAUUACGAUACCCAAAAGUAAUUAUUUGAAGAGGUCACGAAUAUGCAAAAAUAUAAGAUUCUAAGAAAAAAAAAGAAAAUAAUAAUAUACAAAUAUACAUGAUCUAAAGGAAUGCAUCAUAAUGGGAGCAACGAGCUAAGAUUCGUGACUUCAAUUUUCCCUUUUAUAGAGGGAAUACGACCAUGCUAAGGCUAGAAAGCCAAAUUCGUCCAUAUCCCAUAUUCGAGGGGUAUUUUUCCUAUCUAAUCGUGCAAAUGUACUAACCUAGUUCUAAUUCUUAAAUGAAAUGCAAGGCUAACGUCAUGUCUCACAUGUAGGGAUAAAGGAUAUACAUAUAGGGGAAAUAUGGGAUAAGAGAUAUACAUAUAGGUGAAUAAGGGAUAAGGGAUAAGGGAUGUACAUAUAAGGGAAAUGUCAUGCAAAAUGAUAAAAACCCUAAAAGAUAGAUAAUAUGCAUGCAAAUGUAGUGAUUGUUAUACAAACAUGAUCUAGCGCGUGAACGGUCCCUAAGGGUCUAGCGUUGGAUUAACCUAUAUCUAUAAGUUCUCACUAGCAUUGGACUAGCAAAAAAUCGAAACAAAGAGUCACAACUAGCGUUGGACUAGUGUGGUAACGUCAUGCAUUUAUUACAAUCAAAUAAAUCAUAUAAAACAUAAAAUAAACAACCCAUAUUCAACAAAUUAAAACAAACAAAGACCCAAUUGAAAGAAUUAAAAAAAUUUAAGUGGUCAACUUAUUAUUAUUACAAAUAUUAGGGGUCUAAAUUAAAAUAAAAAUGAAAUUGAGGGCUUAAGAUGAGGCCUACCAAAACCAAAUGUUAAACUUCACAAAAUGAAUGAAAACCCAUUUGUUUCAAUUAAACAACAAAAUACCCAAAAUUUCACUAAAAAGUUCAAAUCAUAAAUCUCUCAAAAGCUAUUAAAACCUUAAAAUUCAUCCUAAAAUUUACAAGUUGUUUACUCAAAAAAUCAUAUUAAUCAUAUCAAAGGAGAUUAACAUUUUAAAGGGACAAAAUUGAUUAGAUUUUUUCAAUUUUCUGGGCUAUAGUAGUAUUAAGCAAGAAUCUGGGGGUCAAAAAGAUUUGAGUAUAGGAUAGGGGUAGCUGUUGCAGUUCAGGUUGACCAGCAGGUAAGGGAUCAUGUUGUACACCACCAGGUCGGCUGAUGGUGUUGUUUGCAGACCCAUCAGACGAUUUAGGAUGUGUACUCAUGUUUACAUUAUUUCUCAAAACUUGGCUACGCGAUCGUGUAAUGAUGGGGUUUCUUUGUGUAGCUAUGUUUGCAAUUAUUUGAAAAUCUGGGAAAAGUCCUAGUUAAAUUCUCUUCUUGAUUAACUGCUGACAAAAAGAAAAAGAAAAAGACAGGAGUUAGUAAAAAUCAAAGUAAUUCGGAUGCAUGUUCUAUUGAGGAGCCCUUUUAUGCCAAAGGUUGGUCUAAAAUGAGAAUGCGAUCCUCUAGGAUAAGCACUAUACAAUUCAUGAUGAAUCCGAUCAACUUAUUGAUUUAAAUGAAAAGCAAUUUGAAAAAUUUGGCCAAUUGGAGUGACAAGAGACAUUUAUCCUAACAAAAUGAGGACAAAGCUCGAAUGAAUUGAUUACUUUGAUUGACACAUAAAGUGAUGUGUGAAAGAGCCUACUAUCGAAAGGAUUGCAAUGUCUCGGCUAGUUGGAUAAAUAAAAUGAGAAUAACAAAGCUAACAAAUAAAUCUAAAAAUGAAUUAAAUAAGAAAUAAAGCUAAAAAAAAUUAAAUAAAUGAAAUUUUGGUGUCUAUAGUUACAUCCUAAAUCGGAUACAUUUUGAGUGCAUAUCACAUUAAGUGGUAAGUGAAUAAAUUAUCACUUAUUUUUAAUAGCAAGUUUUGCCUACGAAAUUCAGUGCUAUUAAUUAAUUCAGAUGUUUAAUUUUUUGGUAUCAAAUGCGUUUCAACAUAUUUAGAUUUGAAUACACUAAAUUUAAGUGCUGAAUUGAAUUAUCAAACAAAGGUGAAGCCUUAAAUUUCUCAAAUUUGUCAAUUGCAAAAAGCCAAUAAAAGUUCAUGAAGAAUUAUUAUUAUUAUUAUUAUUAAGCACCAAGUUAGACAAAUUCAGCAUUUUUUUUCUUUAAAUUUGUGCUGCUUACGUAACAUUUAAAAAUUGAAUUUUAGCAAAUGCUUAAUAUAACUAUUUGGCCACCCAAUGAGGACUCACACUUUAAAUUUGCAAGACUGACCACGAAGUCAACUUAAUUAGGAUUUCUUACUUUGGUUCACUUAGCAAAGCAUAAAGCUAAGUCCAACUUGUAAAUACCCUCUCUAGUUGGAUUCAACUACUAACAAUUUAACAUCGUAUUGUUUUCUGUUUCAAGUCAGACAAUAACUUCGAUCUAUAAAUACCGUCUCUCACUACAUUACUUUGCACCAUAAUUCCUCCACAAGAACUAGCUCAAGUCUAAACCCUUGUUGAGAUAUCCCAAACGCCAAAUUAAGGCAUCAUGGCACCUAUCACUUGUGAUUAUGAGGUCACCUCCUCUGUCCCUGCUGCAAGGUUGUUCAAGGCCUUCAUCCUUGAUGACAACCUCAUUCCCAAGGUCUUUCCACAGGCCAUCAAGAGUGUCGAGAUCAUUGAAGGAGAUGGAGGUGUUGGAACCAUUAAAUUGAUUACUUUUGGUGAAGGUUAGUUAGUUCUACACAUGCACUUAAUCAUUUUCAGGUCAUUGAAUAUUUAUCAUUCUACGUAAUAGUAAAUCAUUUAUGCACAUCGUUUUUGUAGUGCAUGCAUAAAAACUAAUGAUAAACUUUAAAUCUUAUCUUUAGGUUGCCAUAUUAAGAGUGCUAAGCACAGAGUCGAUGGACUUGAUAAGAACAAAUUCACCUACACCUAUACUGUAACUGAAAGCGAUGCCUUCAGUGCUGAGCUUGAGAAGAUCACCUGUGUUAUCAAAAUCGAAGCCUCCGCUGAUGGAGGGUCUAUCUGCAAAACCAGCAGCACAUACCACAUCAAGGAUAGCGUCCAGGUUACAGAAGAACAAGCUGAGGCAGGAAAAGAGAAAAUUAAGUCAGCAAAAGAGAGGGCCUUGGCCAUGUUCAAGGCUGUCGAGACCUACCUCCAGGCAAAUCCUGAUGCCUACAACUGAUUAAUGUGCUGCCAACUCCUCCAGAGUCAAUCUGAUACUUGUAUGUUAUGGUUUGAUGGUGCUGUUUUGUCUGAAUGCUUUUUGGAGUCUUGUAUGUUUGGUUCAACUAUAUAUUCGCAGUUAAGGCUCAGAAUAAAAUGCUGCUUGUAUUUUCUUGUGAGACUAAAUGAAUCUUGUUUGAAACUGUGGUUCCAUUGUUGUCCCGAAAAGCAAUUUUGGUCUCAUUUCAUCAUCCGAUCUUGUAAUGAAAAGAUCUAAAUGAAUACUAAAAAAAUUAUUUACUAAAAACCAGCACCGUCGAUUGGAGAAUCCAUAAAACAUCAACGGUGAUACAAUUAAUAUAAAAAAAAUGUCCUUAUAAAACGAAAUUUGAGUGACUUGUUUACCAUCUUUCCAUGUCUUGUAAAAUUGGUCAUCUUGAAAAGCUCGAAGCAUAUUUACUACUCUUUUUUUACUUUAUUCCUUAUCUUUUAGUAAAUUACAAAGGACAUAUUGAUCGAAGUUGCAUUUUGAAGGGUAAAAGUGAAGAGAUUAAUUAAGCAACUAUUACUAUCUGCAUACGAUUCGUAGAAGUAUAAGUGGAGUGACAAUUAAGAGAAAUUAGUAAAAAGGGCACGUUCGAAGCCUAAAUUAAUGAAUAAGAGAAAGGCUCAAUCUCAAAAGAAUCUAAUAACCAUUUGAGAACAGGUACUUUAUAAUCUCGAAAGAUGCCGGAUGUAUAGGUCAACAUUCUCAAAGCAAACUUUAGGGCACAUUGUGUUAGAUUAGCAAUUUAGCACCAUAUAGUUUAAGUUCAUCCUCUUCAUUAGUGCAAAAUACUAGAAAGGUAACUUCUAAGUACUAAGAGCAAGUCUUCGUAAUCGAUCUCAAAACUAAAAAGCCGGAAUAGGUCUUACCUAAUUAAAAUAUGUUUUUAUUCAGGAUAUAUUAUUUAUAACCUACUAUAAUUUUAUGUAAUACCAGAUGACCUCUCUAACGUUUCAAAAUAGUCACAUAACCUCUCUAUGGUUUUAUGUAAAGUAGAAAAUGUACGGAAUGUACAAUUAGUCACGGCGUUCAUACCAAAUGCUGUCUAAAAGCAUGUGUGACAAAAUUUUAAUCUCCAUACAACCUCCUUAUGGUUUGUAUAAAUAUCUACUUUAUCCCUCUAUAAUUUUUGCUUUUAUCCACAUAAUUUCCCUGCACUUUUAUACAAGACAGUUAAGUCAUCGAUUGAUUCAACAUUUAAGUAAGGGUGAUAUUGGUAUUUUAAUUAACAACAUUGUAUAUGCUAUUUUUUUUUUCAAAAUUUCAUUUUACAUAAAACCAUAGGGGUGAGGUAGAUUUUUUUGAAAUGUUAAAGGGGUCAUGUGGCAAUAGACAAAAUCACAGAGGGGUUAUAUGUAAUUUACCCUUUAUAAAAUAAUCCGGUUGAUGUGACUUGUUUACUUUCAGAGCAUCGGAAUUCAUUAUACAAAAAAAUAAUAAUAAUAAAGAAAUAGAGUCAACAAUACGAGGUUCAUGUAAAACUGAAAUGUGGGAAACUUCAUGCUUAUAUGGGGAGUAUUUUUGGUGCAAUCAUGACAACUAAAACCAAAUUUGUAUCAUAUAAUCGCCUCAAUUUGUAUAUAUUAAAGGAUUGUUAGAUUUGUUUACACAAGUAGAUUCCAAAAAUGUGGCAGAAAAAAGUUUCUACUAUCUUUUCCAUACAUAUUGCAUGCCCCUAAUAUAAUUCAACACUUACAAGUGGCAAGAAAAAAGACUAGUUCUAUUUUCAAACUCCCAUAUAUAUAUGUACAUAUAUACAUACACACAUAUGAUUAUGUAUGUGUGUCUACAAGCUCUUUUUACCUUUUUAGCUAGUAUUCAAUGUUUUUAUUGUUUAAUAUUUCAUAAAUUAAAAAUACUACUUUAGGCAAUAAGUUGCUUUUAGUAUUUCAUAUUGAGCAUCUUCAUUUGGUUUAUUGAAAUAUUGUGAAAUAAUACCAUUUCACAUUCAUAAAAUUUUCGAAGUUUCAUCAAUCCAAAGUAAAUAGCGUUACGCCUAAUUGGAAAACAUAAUACAAAUUUAAAGAUAUCUGCUUCUCAAUUUUCUUCUUACAUUUUCCUUACAUUUUUAACUGCUAGUAUCAUUUUAUCAUCCUUAAAAUAGGGACGGAAGGAAUCAGCCGACAUCAAACCUCUGGAAGAAUAAACUGGUAUGCAGGAGCCGCCGUUGUCCUUCUUGUUGAUUGAUUCGAGGUUUGCAAACAAAAUCUGGCCGUUAGGAGGUUGCCAAUAGAUACCAUACCGAAACAACUUCCUGAUUCUACAGGCCAAUAGAUAGUAUGCCUAUUCCACUUUGGGAUCAUACCAGAAUAAUUUUCUGAUACCACAGUAGAAUAACUUGUUAAUCAUCUAGAGUUCAUGUCAUCGUUAGUUGCAAGAAAAGAGAGAGCCAAGCAUCCAUUAAAUUGUGCUAACCGAUGGAACCUGAAUGAAAAGCUGGAUAUCCUAUUGGAGCCACAACCAAGGCAUUCAAACAUGUUUUUUUUUAGAUCAAAACGAUAGAGCGUACAUCCACGAUCAAGUCCUGGGAGAAAACUGUCAACCAAGAAACUCUGCGUCUCAAACAUUAAAGGUGAAAGUAGUUCAGGAUCCGCAUCUACAUCAAUCAGCUUUCUCCAGGAAGAAUCACAGCCUAGAGUAAGAAUGUCGCAGACCUUGUAAUAAUAGGCAGAUUCCCCCCAUAGGGACAGGGAUGAUGAAUUUCUUACCACAUGAUGAAGCUCUUGAAGUAGGUUUUUGAUUAACAGGGUGAGGAUGCUGCAAUACUACAACGACGCAAAGUUCGCAAUGUUCCUUGAUUUUAUUCGUUUGCUCCAUGACCGACAUGUAUUACAUAAAAAUACUAUCGUACCCUGGUACUUGCAAGGAUCAAAUUUGGCUAACAGGAAGCUGCGAUCAAGCUGAACCAUCAGCCUUCUUUCUGAGCAUUUUCUGACCAUAUUUCCAGUCAUUAGAAAGGCUUCUUGUUUUCUGCACUUUCCUGGGGUACAGUAGAGAAAUUUUCAUUCAAAAACCAUUGAGGAAAAACAACUCCAAAUCCGUCGAAUUUAGGCCCCAUGUCGGGAAGUCAUCAGCCCUUUGAAGAAAUUUUGCAGCAAAAAACUGAGCUUCCACUGUGAUUUUCACGUGUUUGGGUUCGUUUAUUUUACAGUGUAAUGCAUUGUUUUGCCAAAGGUAAUCUUUUUUCAUCUUAUUCUAUUAAAAAAAAAAAAAGUUAAAAUCUUGCUGCGGUGUUCGUUGUUAGUUUUCUGCUUCCUUCUAUCGUUUUCCCCUUCAUUUUGCAUGUUGUUAGCCUGGAUUUUGUCCCAUAAUAUCAUGUUCAUAUGUUUAGGUUUGGUGUUAAUGAAGCAUGGUGUGCUUUGAAAUCAUCCGGUGUGAUGUUUUGAUGAAUCAUGCUUCCUGGUUGCUAAACUACCAAAGCAUCAGAAUGAUUCGAACCAGAUGCAUGGAGAUUUUGGAAAUUUUCAUUUUUGACCCCCAACCUUAUAUAUAAAUAAUCUCACUGUGGCCCAAAAUCUGUAAAAUGUGACUCAAUUUUACCCCUUUUAAGUUUCAAUCGUCUUUUGUAUGUUUUAAGUAUGUUUUUAAGCAUUUGAUUUCUAGAUUUUGGGGCAUGAAUAAAGCUUAAUGAUUUUUUCAGUUAGGUUAAUACCGUGUUGGGUUAGAUUCUUGGGUUAAGGAUAAUUUUAGUUGGGUUUUGUUGUUUUUUCUUUGGGUUUUGGCAUUGGGUUAGAAAGUUAAAGCCCAACCCUUUUGAUUGUUUUUCUUUGCUUGGUAAAAGGCAGGCCAGCCUACCUUGAGGCAUUUCUUUGCUUAUUCUUGAGGCUUUUCGUCCGGCCCAAAUAAAUGUUGAAAAAGGCCCAAGUGGCCUUUCAAGUAAAUUGCAAUCUAGUCCCUGUAAUUUUGAGUAAUUUCAUUAUGACCCUAACAACUUUAGAUUUCUUUUAAUUAGUUCCCUAAUUUAAUUGUAAUUUGGUUCCUAAACUUUAUUUUUAUUUGACUUUGACUCCAAUUUUUGUAAUAAUUUAUAAUUUGAUUCUAAAAACUUUCUCAAUUUUUGCAAUUGGAUCUCUCACAGUUUUGAUUUCUUAAAUAUAAGUUGUUUAUCUUCUUUAAUUGUUAAGUAUAUUUCAUUUAAAUGCUUUAAUUAGUAGAUUUCAUAGUUAUUUGUACUUCUUUAUAAUUUAUUUGUUAAUUAAAUUGGUGUCUUGACCUUUUUGUUGAUUUUGGAGUAUAAAUAGGACAAAUUCUACCCUAUUUAACCACUACUUCAAGGGAGGUACCUUCUAGUAUUAUUUUAAAUUCUCUUAUGUGCUUCUAUGUGCCUUUUAUAUGUGAUUGUAUGUUUCGUGUGUUUUUUUCCUUGUAUUUUUUCGUUUUAUUCUUUUUAAAAUUUUAUUUAUUAUAUUUAAUUUUUGAUGAUUAUUUGAGAGGCAUUUAAAUGCCAAAUUGUAAUAGAUAAAUGUUCAAGACAUGUAUUUAGUUAGGCUAUGUAAUAUAUAGGUUUCAAUUUUGUCAAAAAUAUAAUUAGUUAGAUAAAUGUAACAAUUAUGUUAUUAUUUUUUUAAUUUCUCCCUUUAGAUUGUAAUUAGGGCCACAAAUGUAUUAGUUAGAUCCUUAUAUGCAUUUCUUUACUUGUGUGCUUGCAUGUUUGUGUACUUAAGUGUUUACUCACUUUAUUUAGGACCUUUGCAUCUAAAUAUCAUGCCUACGUGUUAUGUGCUCUAUGUGCUUUACAUAUUUAUUUGCUUUAAUUAUGUUUUAUAUGAUUUAUUUGUUUAUAAUAAAUGUAUGAUGUCACCACACUAGUCCAACGCUAAUUAUAACCUUUUUCCUCAUUUUCUCACUAAUUCAAUGCUAGUGAAGACUUGUAAAAAUGGGUUAAUCCAAUUCUAGACCCGUUAAGCCUUUUUCGUGCUAGAUUCACAUUUUUUGUGUGACAUCAUCACAUUUCAUACAUGUUUUUCAUUUUUAGGAUAUUUUCUCAUCUUGCAUGAUAUUUCUUUUAUAUAUUAUCUCUCUUAUUCCUAUGUGCCCGAAGCAUAACAUUUGGAUGUGCAUUCUAUUUAGGAAAUUAAAAAUAAGUUAAUUCAUUUGUUUGACUAGGUUAGGAGGGUGACCCUUCAAAAUAUGGAAAAUGAACAAGUAUGGCUUUUUAGCCUUAACACGCUCUCAUCCCCUCUAUAAAAGGGAAAAUUGAAUCAUGAAUUUUAGUCUCUCGUACUCGUAUGUUGCAUUCCUCUUCUCUAGAUCAUGAAUAUAUAUAUAUAUAUAUAUAUAUAUAUAUAUAUAUAUAUAUAUAUAUAUAUAUAUAUAUUAUAUUAUAAUUUCUUUUUGAGUCCCAUCUUUUACAUUUUUCGUGACUUCUUCUAAGAAUCAUUUUUGGAUCUCACAAUAAAUGUGAUUGGCAUCAAUUAAGUUUUGAAGAGAGAUCUUACCCCUUUCGAUACUCCUUAGGUCUAGAUUUGCAUCCAUGAAAAAACAUCCUAAUGUGAUAAGUUUAUAGGUUGGAUUAGGAAAAUUUUCGACUAAAUCUUGCAACUAACCUUGGUUAGGUUGAAAGGGUGCCUUAGUUUUGAGUCUAUCAAAUUUUUGCUUUCCCUUUCUUCAACCAUGACUCCCAAACCCGUUUUUUUUGUUUUCAAAAAUUUGGAGUCGUCUAAAAGGGAUUUUAUUUAUUAUUUAUAUACUUUAAAAAUAUAUUUUGGGUGAUUUGGUGCACCUAAACUCGAUACCAAGUGGCGGCUUCUAUUUUUUUUAAAACCCUUUUUAGAUUAUUAUUUUGGGCCUAAAUCGUCGUAUAUUUUAAGUUCUAUUUUAGGCCCUUUUUCUUUAUUUAUUCUUUAAAAUAAAAAACUAAUUUCAAAUAAAAAUUAAUCAAAAAAAUCAUUCUUUCAACACAUAAACUUUAUUUCAAAAAAUGGGGCGCGACAUUUGAUAGACGAUUUUGUUGGAAUUCACAUAUUAAUUAGGAAUAAUUGGUCAUUAUAAUUAAUAAAUUUAGUUAUACACUCAUAUCCUGUAAAUGUUCUCUUAGAUAAUCUGAAAACUAAUCUCCAUAUCUAUUGAAAACUAAUUAAAUGCAUUCAAGCCGAGCAAGCAAAGUUCUGAGGAGAAAAUAAAACAAAAUCUAUAUAAACUCAAGCUUGAUCUUUUAUGUACGAUGAUAUCUAAAAUACAGCAAUGAAUCUUCUAUUCCACUUUUUAUUAUAUCAUUAUUUCUCCUUCAUAAACAUCAUAAUUUAAGUUAUUUUUUAUUUUCUUAAUAGCCAAUAACUAUUGAGUGAGUAAAAAACAACACAUAAUUUCCUGGCUUUCUUUGUUGCUUAGAUGUGAUAUCAUCCUUCUGUUUAUAAGUAGGAAUAACAACACAUAACUUCCUUAUGCAAUGGGCUUGAAAUAUUAACAACCAUGAAUUGCAUGAACAAACCUUUAGUUCUUCUCACAGAAAAAAGGCCUAACCCUGCAGUAGUAUAAGGUCAGUUGAUUCUCUUGUUAAUUUGAAUUCCAUAUGUAAUUCUUGAAUACAUAGACAUUUGCGAUUGCAAGACAGAUGAUAUGCUACAUUUUUUUUUUUUUUGGCCUUUUUAAGUUCUAUUCUCUUUAUUUUUUUUCCUCACUUUUAUCCAUUCAUUUGUACUUUUAAAAGAUCAAGAGUUUUUUUUCCCUUUUUCCUGCCAUUCUAAAGAAUAUUAGUAACAAAAAUCAACCAAUUUGCAUCUCCCAUUUUCUUGAUUUACUUCGAAGUAUGAUCUAUCUAAAUCCUUACCUCUAUAUACCUCUUUUUAGUUGGUUAAAAUACCUAAAUUGACUAUUUUGCCGAUACAAGUAAAAUAGGCAAAAUUGAAAAAAAAACAUUUGUAGCAAGCGGUGGUGGCAAAGGGUGAUAGGUGAUGGUGGUGAUUAGUGUGUUGAAGCCCUAAGACCAAAAGCCCCACGACGCCAAAUAAGAAUUCAAAAAGAGGCGGUUUAGUCACAUUUACCUAGCAUGAAAAUAUCUUAAACGCAAAUUUCUUUACAAUUUGCAUUAAAAAAAAAACAGUUUUUGCGCUUAGUAUAUUGUUUGGUUUCCUUGUUUUUCCUUAAGAAUUGAUUUAUAUCAACCUGAUUUCAUUCACCAAUCUGAUUUUAUUUCAUAAGAAAACUUAAUGCAAUAAAAUUCUCCUCUUUUUUUAUUUUUUUAAUCAGAGGGUUCGAAUACGAGAUCUUACAUUUAGACUCUCCCUAAAUAAACCAACCCAUCCUUUCCAUAUUAUCACGCAAGUAAUAUCAAAUCAUCAAAUCCAACCGUCUCAUUAUUGAUAUUAUGCAAGUACAAGCAAAAUCAUCAAAUCCAAUCUUCUCUUUUAAUAGGUAUUGAUUAUUUAUAUUUUUUUUUGAAAGUUUUUGGUUGAAACCAUUUUUCUAUUAUUCAAGAUUAUGUAGGUCUUAGUUCCCCCGGUUGGAUUGUUUCCCUCUCUAACUUAAUCGUCUAACAAUAAUCAUCUAUAUAGUAGAUGGGGCUUAUUUCCGGUCUAAUUUUUUUUUUUUUUUUGUCACUUGUCAUUAUCUACAUCUACACCUAUUCCUAGUUCUAAUCUAACCUAUACUAGGGGGUGACCCAACAGGAUCACGGAGAAUCUAUGAGAACUAAAUCACCAUCGAACCAUAUGAGUGCACAGCAUCCACGUGGAUCUUAAGCAAACUCAAGAGUUGAAUCCUUGACCCCAUCCACAUUACUAUUUCCGGUCUAUUAGUUAUGUUAAAGACUAAGCAGAGCCCAAAAGUCAAAACUAUAGCCUUCAAAAGAGGACUCGAAAGUACUGGGAACUGCAUUUGUCGACGUGUAUGAACAAAUCCCUCGUCAGCAUCAACCAAACCCGCCCUAAAAGGCUAAAACCCUCCACCGCCUCCUUUUUUUCCAGAGUCAGAAAAAAUGGCCACCCUCCCACUCCUGCGCCCCUCCGUCCUCCGCCACCCUAUCAAUCCCCUCCACCGCAAACUCCAUCCACCCCCUCCCCACAGCACCCAUCUCAAAUUCCCGCAGCCAUCAAAACCUGUCACUUCCCCUAUGUCCGUCUCCGCAUCCUCCAAAACUCCAACCCCCGCCGCAGACCGUCUAAUGUCAGCCGCAUCCUACUGCUACCCCCUCUUCAAUGGGUUCCAAUACGGCCGCUUCCUCUUAUCCGAGUACCCCAUUUUAGCGACUCCCUUUAAACCCAUCAUCCCUGUCGUGUCUGCCUACCACUCCAUCCCCUACGCCUCCUUCAUCUCCUUCUUCGCCUUCUACCUGGGCAUCGUCCGAAACCCGAACGUCAGCCGGUACGUCCGUUUUAACGCUCUUCAGGCUCUGGUACUCGACGUGGUCCUGGUGGUGCCGAUGAUGGUGCAGCAGAUUUUGUCUCCGGGGCUGAAUCUCACCAUCUUGGGAUACAAUUGCCUCUUUGUGUUCUUGGUGGCUUGCUUUGCUUAUGCACUUGGGUGUAGCGUGCUUGGGAAGACUCCUUACUUGCCUUUUAUUGCUGAGGCUGCCAGCAGACAAUUGGAUUACUCCUAAGUUUCUCACAUAUUUCUGAUUGCUGUGUAAAAAUUUUUGGUUGAUUAGGAAACAAAAAAUAGUGAUGUUUAUGCUUGUAACUUGUUGCAAAUGUGUUUUUUUUUUUUGUGUUCCCUUUCUUUUUUGUCAUUGACUUUGAGAAAGCAUACGCAAAAGUGGUUGACAACAUAUAUUGCGAACUUGCAAUCUGUUUACACGAAAAACUAUCAUGUUUAUCACUUUAUGCAUAAUUUGCUUGCCCCGUUUGGCAAGUGAAUUUUUUUGGUGUUUAUCUAAAACUUUACUGUAAUUUAUUGUAGAAAUUUUUUAAAAAAAUUUUGAAGUGUGUUUUUUUUUGAAUAUUUUGAAAUGUAUAGUUUAAAAAUUUUAAAAAGUUUUUUGAACUUACUAUAAUUAAAGUUUUUAAAAAAUUUGUAGCAGACAAACUUGGCAAAAAAUUUGUCGCAAAAACAAAGUCAUAUGACAGGGAAGGUUGCAAGAUCUUCAAUAUUUAGUGAUAAAUUAUUAAUUAAUAAUACAAAUCUUAAUUGACGUGAGUAAGCAUAAUCAACUAAUAUAAUAAAAAGUGAAGAGAAAAAAUUUACAUAAUCACUACUCUCUUUUUUUUUGUUUUGACGAAACGGCAGAAUUAUGUUGCUUGAGCCAAAAAUAUUUACAAACGAGCAAAGACUUGAUACAUAAUCACUACUCACUAGUUUAGCUUUUGUGCUUAGAAUAGGAGAAUAUUUUGGUGUUGCAACCAGAUGACUAGACAAGGAUUAACUUCAUUUGUUUCUUGGUGAAAAUAUAUUGUAAGAAAAUAUAUUUUUGGUGAAAUUUUUGUAAAAAAGUGUACUAUGAUAAUUUGAUAUAUUUGAGAUAAAAAGAUGAUUGAGAAAUGUGUUUAAAAGAAAAGCAAAAUUUUUCUAAGUCAAGAAGAGUAUUAGGAAAUUCUACACAUAUGUUGGACUACAUUUUAAGGUAACAGGUGUAAUUCUCCUCCAAUCCAAAACCCACUAAAAACCCCACCAUUUAUUUGUCUUCUGCUCCCAAAUCAACAAAUGGCCGGUCUCCCAAUUCUCCGCCUCUCCGUCCUUCCCCAUCCGCUCAAACCCCGCCACCCAAAGCUCCACCCACUCCUCCCCCACCGUCCACCACCCCUCAAAACCCCUUCACCACCCAUUUCCUCCUCCUACAGCCCCACCCCCGCCACUGACCGCCUAAUCUCUGCCGCAUCCUUCUUCUUCCCACUCUUCAACGGCCUCCAAUACGGCCGCUUCCUCUUCUCUCAAUACCCCAUCUUAGCUGCCCCCUUCAAGCCCAUCAUCCCUCUCCUGUCUCUCUACCACUCGGUCCCUUAUGCCUCUUUUGUCUCCUUUUUUGCCCUCUACAUCGGCAUAGUCCGGAACCCUAGUCUUAGCCGCUACAUUAGAUUCAAUGCUCUCCAAGCCCUUGUUCUUGAUGUUCUUCUGGUGGUGCCCAUGUUGAUUCAGAGGAUUUUGUCUCCGGGCCAAACUGGCCUCGGGCUCAAGCUCACCAUUUGGGGGUAUAAUGCUCUGUUUGUGUUUUUGGUAGCUUGCUUUGCUUAUGGGCUGGGCUGUAGUGUGCUCGGGAAGACUCCCCACUUGCCUUUUGUUGCCGCAGCGGCUGGCAGACAAAUCGAUUAAAAUCCUCGUCUCUGGUAAAUAUAUCGCUUAAUUGGAAUUCCCAGAUUCCAUAAGAAAAAUGUUUGGUCUCUCCUAACUGAUGUUCUAGAGUUUAAAUCCUUCUUUUGGUGUAGAAGUCAUGUUUGAGGAGUUGACCAUGUAAAAUGUUGCAAAGAAAUGUUCAUUGCAGCCUGUUUUUUGUUGAAAAAUGUUAUAGUUGCAAGACUAGUGCAUUUAGGUCAAUUGAGGAAUCUAGCUGGAAUUUUCUUGUUUGAUAUUGUAUUGCUGUCUGAUGCUUAUGCCUUCGUUGGUUUUUUAUCAUGCAAAACACUUUUAAAAGAUAGCGUCCAGCUUGAAGUGUCUGCAAAGCUCAAUCUAAUCUGCUCAAACGUUAAGAUGGUUAAAUUGACUGUCUACUAGUUAAUUCUGGCACCUGUGGUUGUUGAGGCAGUAUGCUAAUUUUUUAUCCAGAUGUAAUUGUUAGCUACACUGGUUUAGAUUAGGCAACGUGCUGUAGAAUGGUAGAAGUAAGUUUGGAGGUAUUGUUUUAGCAUCUCAUCUUAAUAGAUGAGCCAAAGAAAUUAAGCAGUUGGAUAAUAUAUGUUGUACCUAUGACAACUUCUGAUCCCAAUGAAAUCUUUUCUUAUACCCUGGUCAGGCAUUUUUUCUUGUUAUUGAGCGCAGAGAGAGUGAGAAACUCUGUGGUUGUGUGUUACUUUCUUUAGGAUCUGGCCGCAUGAUUCCUGAACAUUUGAAUAUGAGGCCCUAUGGAUUGGAGUUUAGAAAAGGAUAGUCCGUGUAACCAACUACUGGGUCAGAUGUGUAAAAAGUGCUCCUGUCAUAUUUGUUAAGAGGUGAAUUGAGCUCAAAUCUCCUUGGUAAGUCUGGGUUGGCCAAGAAUAGUCGUCCAUAUGCAGCAAGAUCUGCUCCACCUUGGCUUAUAACUUUAUUUCCGUCGUCUCUAUCAUAUCCGCCAGCAACAAUGAAUGUUCCUUUGAAGGCCUUUCUCAUAGGCAAAAGACUGUUUCUAGUUGUAAACUUAUCAAAUUGUGUGAUCAUCCUGGGUUCAAUCACAUGACAGUAAAGUAUGUUGUACUUGUUCAAUGCCUCAGCCGUGUAGAGUCCAAGUGAUUCAGGGUUUGAGUCUCCUGAGUCAUUGUAAUUAGCAAAUGGUGAGAGCCUAAUUCCAACUCUUUGAGCUCCUAUCUCAUCAGCAACUGCUUCCACCACUUGUAGAGGGAAGCGACAUCGAUUCUCAAGGCUCCCACCAUACUCAUCGGUUCUAUCAUUUACCUGAUCCUUCAUGAACUGAUCCACUAGGUAUCCGUUGGCUCCGUGAAUCUCAACCCCAUCAAAACCUGCAGUAUAUUAGGACAGAGGGGGCUUUGUUACUGAGAGAUUUCAACUACGGAUACACAUUUUGUUGGUUUCCAAAGGGACUGAUCUGAUUAAGUCAUGGUUGAGACGGAUGAUGACCUGCUUCGAUAGCAUUCUUAGCUGCAAUUCUGAAGUCAUUGAUUACUUGAGAGAUCUCUUCAACUGCUAAUCGCCUUGGGCGUGGGAAAGAUGCUCCUCCAGAGCCAUCAAUAUGGAAAUCAAACUUAAUUGGCUGGUCAGUACAGGAGAUUGGGGGACUUCCAUUAGGCUGGCAACCUGUAUAUUGCUAUAUUGAGUGCUUUUCAAGUAAUAGGCACAAGAAUGAGGGAGGGAACCAAGAGGAAUUCUCAAGACUUAACUGUAAUUUGAAGCUCUUCCAGCAUGCCACAGCUGGCAGAAAAAUAUUCCUCCUUUCUCAUGAACUGCAUUCACAAUGGGUUUCCAUGCUUCUACUUGUUCCUUUGUCCAUAUUCCAGGAGUAUUUGGAUAGCUGAACGUAUAUAUAUAUACACACACACACACACACACACACGUAAGGAGAAGAUGUUAAAGGGAAAAGGAGGUAAAAUCUGAUUUACAUGAUGAUGACCAAGAAGAAUCUGAUGACAGAGUUGAAGAAACAGCUUGAACUUCCGAGUCCUUGAGAAAGCCAUUAUACAAAUAAACAACUGCCGUUGGUGAUCUGAUUUUGUACAUAAAAUUGAUUUCUUAAAGAACAUAACCGGGCUGGCUAUUUUUGUGGCAAGCAAUUUAAAAAGUAAUCGAAAUUAACAAGCCAAAACUGUAACUUACAUGCCCUGGAGCAGUCUCUGAGAUUCCGGAGGCUUCUCCAAUCAAAAAACCACCUGGUGUAGUUCUUUGAGAGUAGUAAAGAAUGGCAUCGGGUUGUGCAACGAAAUUGUAAGAUCUCAGUCUUGAUUGAGGAGCCAAAACAACCCUUAUGACCAAGAAACAUCCGGAUGAGAGAUUAACUACGAAAUCUAUAUGAAUGGUACAAGCCACAUUGAAAUUUUGACUAGUAAAUGAAGGCAGAUAUUAGCCUCGGCUCAUGAGUAUCUCUACUUGGCUGCAGAAUUCAUUCAAGAACAAUCAACUUUAUUACUAAUAGCAGCUUGCAUUUUAAUCAUUUCUAUCCACUGGAAUUCCAAGUUGGGAAAAUACAUGAGAGAGCCAGUUUUACACAUUCUUUCGCUCUUCUUCGAACCAUAUACGAGAGAAACUAGGAAGAAAAAUGAAAACAACAUACCUGUGGGAAAGAUCAAAUGUGCCCAUCUUGUAAGGCGUUAAGAGAGGAAUGGUCUCAGCUUCACUUGUACGAUGAUUUUCCUUGCUUUGCUCUUCCAUGAUCUCUCCUUGCAUUCCCUCUGUUCCGUCAAACCUAUAUGGCUUUGUGGAAAUCCUAGCACCAAGCAGAUUUCUGGUAAUGGCAUUUUUAUACCAAGUAACAUCUCUUUCUACUAAGUGCGAAUGUUUCGACUUCCUUAGAUUUUCUCUGCCAAUCAACAUCGAGCAGGGCGUGGUUUUGGCAGCAACGUAACGUAACAAAACUGGUUAUGUGGAAUGUAUGUGGGAAUUGGGAAUGGUCCAACAUUAGAAAAUUUUGCCAAAUGAUGCUAGCAGUCAAUUAGUGUUUAAAUUCCAAUCGAAAGUUUCUAAGAAAAAUAAAGCCUGAAGCAUAUUGUAAAUUCUGGAACAGAAAAGAAAUCAGAAUACGCCAACCAACCAGCCAGCCUGUUGUUAUUGGUGAUUUGGCAUGCCAAACUUGCACGACUAGCAGUACUAAAUAUUGUGACAAGUGCGUUCUUCUACUGCCCAGUACCUACAACAAAGGCAUAGUUGACAUCUGGAACCUGGCGGCCGUAUUUGGAUUGCAUUUUUCUAUAUUGUUUGUAGAAAAAUUACUGUAACAAUUUAAUAUAUGUGAGAUAAAAAGAUGGUUGGAAAAUGUGUUCACGGAAAACGUAACAAUUGUUCUUUGGAAAAUGGCUGUCCAAACAAGGCAAUGCACGAUCGAGUAAGAGAAGUGGUUUUUGCACUCUCCAAAUAGCCUCUAGCAUUUCUUCCAAAUUAUAUAUUUUUAGUGGGAAUAAUUUCAAAAGCCUCUCCAGAGGUUUCUGACCUUUUCUUCAAGUUUUGAAAAUUAUACUAACCUUCAUUGAGGUUUAUUAUUUUACAACAUCUAUAUCCAACCAAUAAUUAAAAUGUGAUAUUAGAAGAGAGAAGAUAAUAUGAUUUCACCAUUGUUUUUCAUCUAUUAAAUUGUUUAAUUAAUCUAAUAUCAGCCCAAAUAUUAAAUAAAGAGUGAAUUUUAAUACCAUAAUAAUCUCAAUUACAAACCUUAAUAUGUUGACAAGAAUAUUUAUGGCGUCAAAGUUUGUUCUCUGUAAUAUUUUAGAAGCAAAUAUUUUUAUUAUUUGUUGUUGACCAUGUUUAACAAUAGAUAUAUAAUUAAAAAGAGUAAUUUGGAUCUUAUAUUAAGUAAAAAAAUAUAAAAUGAUAUGCUAUUUUUUGAUACUAUACGUAAUUGAUCCCUAAUGAUAAAUAGCAAAUUUUAGUAUUUUUCUUUUAUGUACAGAUUGGUAUUAAAUUAUAUUAAUUAAAUAAUGUUGUAGAUGGCGGACAAUGAUGGAAUCAUAUUAUCUUCUCUCUCGUAAUACUACUUUUUAAUUAUUGAUUGGAUCUAAAUGUUACAAGACAAUUUAACCGUAGGGGAGGCUGUGCAAUUUUAAAAUAUAUGGAGUCAGAAAGGUUUCUGAAAUUAUCCCAUAUAAAUUUCAUAAAACUUGGCCUAUUCAAGAGUUAAAGGGUCCAACACUGGGAAAUGUGUGGUGGUGAUUUUCAAUUGCAAUUGUCCAGAACGCAUGUAGGACUAGGUUGUCUGUCAGCAUACAACUAUACAUGCAUUACCUGUAUCAUUUACACAGUUUGAGUUGAUUUGCUACAAUUGUAACAAAUAAUCUUCACUAACAAUAAUAUAUUCUGGGCCCUGGAUCGGUUUGAAUUAAAUCUCUUUUUUUUUCUUUUUUUUUUUUAAAGAAAAGGCCUGCAAAUUCCUAAUAGGGGGAACUAUUUAGAAUCCGCUUGGAAGUUUUUUGGAGUUUUUGUUUAGAAAAAAAAAUACUAUGAUGAUAUUAUAUAUGUGAGAUAAAAAGGUAGUUGAAAAAUACGCGAAAAUUCACAAUCAUGACCUACCUUGCCAAAGAAAAUCAAGACGGAGGAAUCAUGGUACUUAAUGUAAUUAGUAAUGAAUGAUUAAAGUAGCUAUUUGCCUCUGUAUUUGAACUUUUAGCAUGCUCCUGAGGCUGUGUUUGCAUAACAUUUCUUGAAUUUGACAUAAAAAAACACUACUAGUAUCCAGUUCUUUUUUUCUCCCUUUUUUGUGGCUUUGUAAUACAUUGCUCAUGGUUCUUUGUAGAUUGAAUAUUCAAAAGAUAACAUUUCUAGGAUCUACAUUCAAAUUACAGGCAGAAAAAUUAUCUCAUUCAAAAACGCUUUGUCUGCCAAAAAAGUUUAAGAUUCCACUGCAUUAUAAUGAUUCGGCCUCUAAACAUCUGGAAGCGGCCUUGGCUAAGAACCUGACUUCUUGAAUCAUAUCCACAUGUUUUAAGACUGAUGAUGGAUGAAAUGCUGAAUCCGAAGCUAAAGUAUCCUGCGUUCAAGACAUUGAUCAUAGAGGUUUCUUGCUUCAUGAUAAAGGUCAAAAUAAUACUAGUUUUUAUUAGUUCCCCACUGUUGAAACAAAUGGCUUUGGCUGGAUUGUAUCAAGUAAAUAAUUUAUCAAAGGCUCAUUUAACUCUCAUCUCUAACUAUAAUCUCACAUUCCAACUAAAAACAGCAUCAGCAAAACAAUCCCGCAUCUUGCAACAUCGCUCUGGUAAGAGCCCUCCUAAUCUCUGCUUAACAUCUUACAGCCCUCCUGGAUGAUCUCUAUGGUUCAAUC
rnacentral:lncRNA from 1 species